rnacentral:rRNA from 1 species
CUGGGCACUGUCUCAACGAGAGACUCGGUGAAAUUAUAGUACCUGUGAAGAUGCAGGUUACCCGCGACAGGACGGAAAGACCCCGUGGAGCUUUACUGCAGCCUGAUAUUGAAUUUUGGUACAGCUUGUACAGGAUAGGUAGGAGCCUGAGAAGCCGGAGCGCUAGCUUCGGUGGAGGCGGUGGUGGGAUACUACCCUGGCUGUAUUGAAAUUCUAACCCGCGCCCCUUAUCGGGGUGGGAGACAGUGUCAGGUGGGCAGUUUGACUGGGGCGGUCGCCUCCUAAAGAGUAACGGAGGCGCCCAAAGGUUCCCUCAGAAUGGUUGGAAAUCAUUCGUAGAGUGUAAAGGCACAAGGGAGCUUGACUGCGAGACCUA